GUCUCUCUCUAUACGCUCUUUGUCCACAAGAGAAAAAAAUUCCAUGGCAGAAAAUUGAAAAAAAAGACAGCAAAUGACAGAAAAAGAAAGAAAGAAAGCAAGUGAAAAUAUGCCAUAGGACCAAAGACUAUUCAUCCUUCUCUGAUUCAUACCAACAAAAACGCGAAUUAUAAACAUCCCCUCUCGCCCACAAACCCAAAAAAAAGAUCAAAUUAACUUUUUUUUUCUUUGUUCUGGCUACUCUUACUAGGUUUUCUCUUCCCAUUUUCCAAAAGUCACAUGAAAACAGCCAAUUCAGAUUUCUUGCUUCAUAGUGACACAGAAUCUUCACUAUUCUCAUAACCCAUGUCGGUUUUUGCCUUAUUUUCCCCCUUUUAUGCUUUCCACCAUCACUAACUAAAUUCAACUGAUAUUUCGGCCAAAGAAGAAACAGAAGCAUCAAGAAACCACCCAGUAAUGGCAUCAGGUGGCAGAGCAGCAGCGCACUCACAGGCACAGCAACAACAACAACAACUGCACCACAACAAUAACCUUCAACCAGCUGCCCAGUCCUCGGGAACCAGCAACUUAUGGGCGCACAACACCGAGUCUGUAAGCAAAGCGAUUGCUCAGUACACAGUGGACGCGCAGCUUCAUGCUGUUUUUGAGCAAUCAGGCGAGUCCGGUAAGUCGUUUGAUUACUCUCAAUCAGUGAGAACCACUAACCAAUCGGUCCCUGAACAGCAAAUCACUGCUUACCUCUCCAAAAUCCAACGUGGUGGCCAUAUCCAGCCUUUUGGGUGCAUGAUCGCCGUCGAUGAAGGUUCUUUUAGGGUUAUUGGAUACAGCGAAAACGCGCGUGACAUGCUCGGUUUAACGCCGCAAUCAGUCCCUUCUCUUGAGAAACCGGAAAUCCUUUCUAUUGGGACUGAUGUGCGUACUCUUUUCACUCCCUCGAGUGCGGUUUUACUAGAAAAAGCAUUUGGAGCAAGGGAAAUCACGUUACUGAACCCUCUUUGGAUUCACUCCAAGAAUUCAGGGAAACCCUUUUACGCAAUUUUGCAUAGGAUUGAUGUUGGGAUUGUUAUUGAUUUAGAACCUGCUAGGACAGAGGACCCUGCUUUAUCUAUAGCUGGGGCCGUGCAGUCACAGAAAUUAGCAGUACGUGCGAUUUCACGUUUACAAUCACUUCCUGGGGGAGAUAUUAAACUGUUGUGUGAUACUGUGGUGGAAUGUGUGAGGGAGCUUACUGGGUAUGAUAGGGUUAUGGUUUAUAAGUUUCAUGAGGAUGAGCAUGGUGAGGUUGUAGCUGAGAACAAAAGGCCUGAUUUAGAACCUUAUAUUGGUUUACAUUAUCCAGCAACUGAUAUACCCCAGGCUUCGAGGUUUUUGUUUAGGCAGAGUAGAGUUAGAAUGAUAGUGGAUUGCCAUGCCACACCAGUUCGUGUUAUUCAGGAUGAAGCACUAAUGCAGCCUUUAUGCUUGGUUGGUUCAACUCUUCGUGCUCCUCAUGGUUGUCAUGCUCAGUAUAUGACAAAUAUGGAGUCAAUUGCAUCGUUGGCCAUGGCAGUCAUUAUUAAUGGAAAUGAUGAAGAAGCUAUUGGUGGGAGGAAUUCAAUGAGGCUUUGGGGUUUAGUUGUUUGUCAUCACACUUCUGCUAGGAGCAUUCCAUUUCCACUUCGUUAUGCUUGCGAGUUCCUCAUGCAGGCUUUUGGACUUCAAUUGAAUAUGGAGUUGCAAUUAGCUUCCCAGCUGUCAGAGAAGCAUGUUUUGAGGACUCAAACACUGUUAUGUGAUAUGCUUCUGCGUGACUCUCCUACUGGCAUUGUUACUCAAAGUCCGAGUAUAAUGGACCUUGUGAAGUGUGAU
rnacentral:misc_RNA from 1 species